CUAUUGAUACAGGAAAAAUCUUUAUCAGCAAGGAGGUUCUCCUUGGACGAGGCUUCUGCAUUGCACCCCUGCAAUCACCCCUAAUGUGGGUGACUCGAGUACGUAACUUUUUAGUGUGGGGGACUGUGUUCGCGCUCUCCCCUG
rnacentral:snRNA from 1 species